CAGAGCCAGUGCUGAAAAGGUUGCCCCUCUUCUCUCCACCCUGUCUCCUGCAGGGAAAAAAGGGCACACAAAAAAGGGGAAACCUGCUAAGAGGGGCAUGUAGGGAAAGCAUGCCAUGAAGGAAAAAAAACAAGAAAAAAGCUACAUAAAUGGUGCUAUUAAUAGAUAAUUUGCGGCAGGAAACAAAUCUGAGAAAACAGCAAGCAAGUGGUGAAAGCCAUUAGCUGCAACGGGAUUUCAAACGACUGUUUUUCCAGCCACAACAUUGUCAGUGGAAGAGGCUACCCCUGCGAGACACUGGUUACCUGCCCUGCUGGACCAGGCUCAACAGCUCUCUAGCAGGAAUGUGUGUGGGACCGUUGCAUCCAGAAACUAACCCCUAAGCCAGCGUAAUUCAGAGCAUGGGUGCAAGCCUGGAUCUGGAUGGAUGCUACUGUCCCCGUGCAUGAGAUAGUGAGCACUGCAAUGUGCUGCUCCCCCUGAGAAGAGCCAGAGGUCUCCUGAUGCACCUGAUAUUUGGAAGCUGGGUGCUGCAAAUCGGAUCCUGCACUGCUUUGGACAGUGGCCUCCUUCGCUUGCUGUGCAGUGCAGAGGGUGACCCUGCCCCAGCAGAGAAGCUGGGCUCAGGCACCAGUGGUGGCUGCUGUCUCCACACUCUCCCAGAGACAUCGGAGGGGACACGGUGCCUGACACAUGAGAAAGGAGAAGUCCUAGCUAAGGCAAAUAAACAGGCUCUUCCUUA